UGCCAGCCGCCGCGGUAAUACGGAGGGUGCAAGCGUUAAUCGGAAUUACUGGGCGUAAAGCGUGUGUAGGCGGUCUGCUAAGUCGGAUGUGAAAGCCCCGGGCUUAACCUGGGAAUUGCAUUCGAUACUGGUAGACUUGAAUUUGGUAGAGGAAAGUGGAAUUCCGGGUGUAGCGGUGAAAUGCGUAGAUAUCCGGAGGAACAUCAGUGGCGAAGGCGACACCCUGGACCAAUACUGACACUGGGGUGCGAAAGCGUGGGGAGCAAACAGGAUUAGAUA
rnacentral:rRNA from 1 species